UGGGGAAUAUUGCACAAUGGGCGCAAGCCUGAUGCAGCCAUGCCGCGUGUAAGAAGAAGGCCUACGGGGUGUAAAGUACUUUCAGCGGGGAGGAAGGGAGUAAAGUUAAUACCUUUGCUCAUUGACGUUACCCGCAGAAGAAGCACCGGCUAACUCCGUGCCAGCAGCCGCGGUAAUACGGAGGGUGCAAGCGUUAAUCGGAAUUACUGGGCGUAAAGCGCACGCAGGCGGUCUGUCAAGUCGGAUGUGAAAUCCCCGGGCUCAACCUGGGAACUGCAUCUGAUACUGGCAAGCUUGAGUCUCGUAGAGGGGGGUAGAAUUCCAGGUGUAGCGGUGAAAUGCGUAGAGAUCUGGAGGAAUACCGGUGGCGAAGGCGGCCACCUGGACGAAGACUGACGCUCAGGUGCGAAAGCGUGGGGAGCAAACAGG
rnacentral:rRNA from 1 species